UACGUAGGGCGCAAGCGUUGUCCGGAAUUAUUGGGCGUAAAGAGCUCGUAGGUGGUUGGUCACGUCUGCUGUGGAAACGCAACGCUUAACGUUGCGCGUGCAGUGGGUACGGGCUGACUAGAGUGCAGUAGGGGAGUCUGGAAUUCCUGGUGUAGCGGUGAAAUGCGCAGAUAUCAGGAGGAACACCGGUGGCGAAGGCGGGACUCUGGUCUGUAACUGACGCUGAGGCGCGAAAGCGUGGGGAGCAAACAGG
rnacentral:rRNA from 1 species